rnacentral:rRNA from 1 species
UAGAGUUUGGAUCUGGCUCAGGAUGAACGCUGGCGGCGUGCCUAAUACAUGCAAGUCGAACGAGUUCUCGUUGAUGAUCGGUGCUUGCACCGAGAUUCAACAUGGAACGAGUGGCGGACGGGUGAGUAACACGUGGGUAACCUGCCCUUAAGUGGGGGAUAACAUUUGGAAACAGAUGCUAAUACCGCAUAGAUCCAAGAACCGCAUGGUUCUUGGCUGAAAGAUGGCGUAAGCUAUCGCUUUUGGAUGGACCCGCGGCGUAUUAGCUAGUUGGUGAGGUAAUGGCUCACCAAGGCGAUGAUACGUAGCCGAACUGAGAGGUUGAUCGGCCACAUUGGGACUGAGACACGGCCCAAACUCCUACGGGAGGCAGCAGUAGGGAAUCUUCCACAAUGGACGCAAGUCUGAUGGAGCAACGCCGCGUGAGUGAAGAAGGCUUUCGGGUCGUAAAACUCUGUUGUNGGAGAAGAAUGGUCGGCAGAGUAACUGUGUCGGCG